GACGAACGCUGGCGGCGUGCUUAACACAUGCAAGUCGAACGAUGAAGCCUAGCUUGCUAGGUGGAUUAGUGGCGAACGGGUGAGUAAUACGUGAGUAACCUACCUUUAACUCUGGGAUAAGCCUGGGAAACUGGGUCUAAUACCGGAUACGACCAAUCUCCGCAUGGGGUGUUGGUGGAAAGCGUUAUGUAGUGGUUAUAGAUGGGCUCACGGCCUAUCAGCUUGUUGGUGAGGUAACGGCUCACCAAGGCGACGACGGGUAGCCGGCCUGAGAGGGUGACCGGCCACACUGGGACUGAGACACGGCCCAGACUCCUACGGGAGGCAGCAGUGGGGAAUAUUGCACAAUGGGCGCAAGCCUGAUGCAGCGACGCCGCGUGAGGGAUGACGGCCUUCGGGUUGUAAACCUCUGUUAGCAGGGAAGAAGAGAGAUUGACGGUACCUGCAGAGAAAGCGCCGGCUAACUACGUGCCAGCAGCCGCGGUAAUACGUAGGGCGCGAGCGUUGUCCGGAAUUAUUGGGCGUAAAGAGCUUGUAGGCGGUUUGUCGCGUCUGCUGUGAAGGCCGGGGCUUAACUCCGUGUAUUGCAGUGGGUACGGGCAGACUAGAGUGCAGUAGGGGAGACUGGAAUUCCUGAUGUAGCGGUGGAAUGCGCAGAUAUCAGGAGGAACACCGAUGGCGAAGGCAGGUCUCUGGGCUGUAACUGACGCUGAGAAGCGAAAGCAUGGGGAGCGAACAGGAUUAGAUACCCUGGUAGUCCAUGCCGUAAACGUUGGGCACUAGGUGUGGGGGACAUUCCACGUUUUCCGCGCCGCAGCUAACGCAUUAAGUGCCCCGCCUGGGGAGUACGGCCGCAAGGCUAAAACUCAAAGAAAUUGACGGGGGCCCGCACAAGCGGCGGAGCAUGCGGAUUAAUUCGAUGCAACGCGAAGAACCUUACCAAGGCUUGACAUAUACUGGACCGCAUCAGAGAUGGUGUUUCCCUUCGGGGCUGGUAUACAGGUGGUGCAUGGUUGUCGUCAGCUCGUGUCGUGAGAUGUUGGGUUAAGUCCCGCAACGAGCGCAACCCUCGUUCUAUGUUGCCAGCACGUUAUGGUGGGGACUCAUAGGAGACUGCCGGGGUCAACUCGGAGGAAGGUGGGGAUGACGUCAAAUCAUCAUGCCCCUUAUGUCUUGGGCUUCACGCAUGCUACAAUGGCCGGUACAGAGGGUUGCGAUACUGUGAGGUGGAGCUAAUCCCUAAAAGCCGGUCUCAGUUCGGAUUGGGGUCUGCAACUCGACCCCAUGAAGUCGGAGUCGCUAGUAAUCGCAGAUCAGCAACGCUGCGGUGAAUACGUUCCCGGGCCU
rnacentral:rRNA from 1 species